GGGCCGUUAGUUCAGUGGUAGAAUGCUUCCAUGGCAUGGAAGAGGUCCGGGGUUCGAGUCCCCGACGGUCCA
rnacentral:tRNA from 1 species